CCCGCUGAACUUAAGCAUAUCAAUAAGCGGAGGAAAAGAAACUAACAAGGAUUCCCCUAGUAACUGCGAGUGAAGCGGGAAGAGCUCAAAUUUAAAAUCUGGCGUGCCUUUGGCCGUCCGAGUUGUAAUCUGGAGAAGCGUUUAUCCGCGUCGGACCGUGUACAAGUCUUCUGGAAGGGAGCGUCGUAGAGGGUGAGAAUCCCGUCUUUGACACGGACAACCGGUGCUUUUGUGAUGCGCUCUCGAAGAGUCGAGUUGUUUGGGAAUGCAGCUCAAAAUGGGUGGUAAAUUCCAUCUAAAGCUAAAUAUUGGCGAGAGACCGAUAGCGAACAAGUACCGUGAGGGAAAGAUGAAAAGCACUUUGGAAAGAGAGUUAAACAGUACGUGAAAUUGUUGAAAGGGAAACGUUUGAAGUCAGUCGCGUCGGCCGAGACUCAACCUUGCUUCUGCUCGGUGCACUUCUCGGUUGACGGGUCAGCAUCAAUUUCGACCGCCGGAUAAAGGUUGAGGGAACGUGACAUCUUUCGAGGUGUGUUAUAGCCCUCGAUUCGCAUACGGCGAUUGGGAUUGAGGAACUCAGCGCGCCUUUAUGGUCGGGGUAGCAACCCACGUAACGCGCUCAGGAUGCUGGCAUAAUGGCUUUAAGCGACCCGUCUUGAAACACGG
rnacentral:rRNA from 1 species